UUUAUAUCCACUUUAGGGAUCGCGCAUUCGCCAAAUGGCCGUCGCGACCGGAUCUUUUUUUUUUUAUCAAGAGAGCGAGGCCCCCACGUAUCCCUCCGCACAGCUGGCAGGGAGGGAAGGAGAAGGAGGUUGUGGUAUCUCGCCUUCUCUUUCUUGCUCGCCCCCCCCCCCAACCACCACCAAACAUAAAUAAACCCACAACGGUUAUCCUGUAUGGGCAAUAUGAGGGGCAGCACUUCAACGAGAGCCUUAAGGCGAAGGGCGGGUAAUAAUAAAUGGUGAUGGUGAUGAACCGUCAAGCACGUUUACUUGGGAGAAAACCCCACCGGGACGCGUUUCUUCCUUGUGUGUUCAGGAUAGGAAGCCUGGCCAGGAUCAAGGCGGCCUUCUAAAAACAGGAAAUGGUUUCUGUAGCCCUGACCUAAGCACAUGAACUUGGGCCUGAGUCCCACUAUACUUAGCCAGUUUCAUUUUCCUCGUUUGGAGAAAAUAAGCAAAGAACUCACAAGCUCAGGAUGGUAACCUUUUAAGCACAUUUACAGCCCAGUUCUGCCCUUUUUGUUACUCGCAAGUCAGUCGCCUAGUUUCUGGGACAUAACUUCAUUUGUCCAAAAUGAAGGACAAGUGCAGGAUCCAAAAACUAAGUUCAGUUGUUUUUCUUAAAAGGUUUUAAACCUGACCCUGACUUGACCACAUUUGCAUUUCCUCAGGGCCUGCCCAAGACAUUUAGCUGCCUUAGGUGAUGGCACAAUAUGCUUCUUCACAACCACCAUUUAAUGUAUUGAAACCGAUUGGUCUGGUGGAACACCCUCCCUUGAGAUGUCAAGGAGAUAAAGAACUACAAACUUAGAAGACAUCUGAAGGCAGCCCUGUAUCGGGAAGUUUUUAAUGCUUUAAUGUAUCUUUUAGUAUAUAUACUGUAAACUGCCCAGAGUGGCUGGGAAAACCCAGCCAGAUGGUCAGGGUGUAAAUAAUAAAAUUAUUAUUAUUAUUAUUAAUUGAUCUUCCUUAAUCACUGGUGACAGAACAGCAUCUGUCACACCUGACAGCAGUAAGUUGUGCAACAACUGGCCGCACCUCAUCCCAGCAUCUUCCACCUAAGGCUGCUGCUUCACUCUGUCUAAUGGUAGUGCUGGCCCUGGAUUUCCUCCAUCAAACAAAAAGGCCAUUUCGAACUCUACGAUUCUAUUGUUUUUGAUGUUCAGUUACAAGAAGAGGAAGCGACCUGUGAUUUCUGUUCCAUGCAUGUCUUUUGUAAUGCCUGCAGAGGAACUAAAUGAAUUUCCCACCAUGCUGAGAUGUGCAAUUUCCAUGUGUAGAGAAACACACAUUUUGCUUUGGUUAUUGUCUAGUACGUGUGGGAAGAUACAAGUAUGAGUCAUUUCCUUUCUUCACACAUCCAUAACAGCCAGCAUACCUGUUUUCUGGGAACAAUACUGGACAAUAAAGGACAAUGGAAAGCAUGAGGAUCCACAUUGAUGUACUAAUAUCAUUUCCAUUAUCUUAUUUUAAGAUUAUUAUUUUUAAGCCAUUGUUUCCCACUUCGGACAGUGUGAGUGGGAAGGACUGAAACACGUAAGAGGGG